GUCAAGACUCAAGACUCCUCCGCGUGUCUGUCGCACUUUUUCUUUACUCCCGGUGUUAGGGGAGUUACUGUCGGGUGUGGUUUCCCUAUUCUGUAACCUUUAUGUCUCCUCACCCUUCGUGUGAGGGGUCCGUGGUGCAGGGUGAUGCGUCCGACUACGAAUCAGAGGACUGUAGGUACGAUUCCUUCCAGUCUUGGCGUUUUUGUCCCCUUAGUUUUAAAAAUCAGAGACUUUUACUACUUUGGGGUUCUCCCAAGCACAAAUGCCGAGAGUUUACCACACCUCGAGGGCGGAGAGCCACCAGGCUUGGUUUCCGAUGCCGCCUGUCGAACUUUCGAGAUGUUGAGAGGUUGGCGAACACUAAUAACGGGACGCCGGUAGCCGGGCGAGGAGGACGGCGCGGGGCAGAGCCGAGGAAAGGAGGGGCCGUUCCCGCGGGCUCCAGGAUGCCAGUGAAAGAUAAUAAAGAUAUACAAGAAGAAAAAGUCUCCUGCCACAUGGAAAACAAAAAAAAGCGUGUCGUAGAUGAAAGGAGAUGA
rnacentral:lncRNA from 1 species